UUCAGGAAAAGUAUCUCAGAGAAGCUGUUUCCAUACGGGAUGAAAUUAUUAUACAAAGCAAAUGGAUCUGAAUGGCUCCUUCUUUGUCAUGGAAAUACCUAAGGACACUAGGACAUUAAGGAUGUUUAGCUGAGAAAAGAGAAGCUACAGAGCUUCUGUCAGGCUGUCUUCUAUCUCAGAGUCAUCUAAAGAGAAGAGGUCCCCGGCACGAGAAAGAUCUUUUUGUCCUAAAACCAG